rnacentral:lncRNA from 1 species
CAGCAUCCAUGGUGGUUACUGCUCAAUGGCGACACUUUCUUUAAUGUAAGUACGUAUGUGUUCUCCAAUUAAUUAGUGUAGAAAAAGAGUUGUACGUAUGUACGAAUUUCGUAACGGGUUAACCAACACAACAAGGAUUUGACAAUUAUAGUUAUUUAGUUUAUUCACUUUUAGUUUUUAUCAAAGUAAAACAUGGAUGACAUUUUCUGAAACGAUUUUCUUGUACUUCGUAAAUGAGACAAUGAUUGAAUUAAAAAAAAAAAAA